rnacentral:rRNA from 1 species
UAAGGAAUAUUGGUCAAUGGACGCAAGUCUGAACCAGCCAUGCCGCGUGGAGGAUUAAGGCCCUCUGGGUUGUAAACUCCUUUUAUCUGGGAAGAAAUGUACUUUUUCUAGAGUACUUGACGGUACCAGAGGAAUAAGCACCGGCUAACUCCGUGCCAGCAGCCGCGGUAAUACGGAGGGUGCAAGCGUUAUCCGGAUUCACUGGGUUUAAAGGGUGCGUAGGCGGACAGGUAAGUCAGUGGUGAAAUCUCCGAGCUUAACUCGGAAACUGCCGUUGAUACUAUUUGUCUUGAAUGUUGUGGAGGUAAGCGGAAUAUGUCAUGUAGCGGUGAAAUGCUUAGAUAUGACAUAGAACACCAAUUGCGAAGGCAACUUACUACACAACGAUUGGCGCUGAGGCACGAAAGCGUGGGGAUCAGACAGGAUUAGAUACCCUGGUAGUCCACGCCCUAAACGAUGAUUACUCGACGUUUGCGAUACACAGUGAGCGUCCAAGCGAAAGCAUUAAGUAAUCCACCUGGGAAGUACGUUCGCAAGAAUG